AACAGACACUGAAAGAAUAAAAAACACGCCCCUGCAGGGCCAACAAACUUAAAACUGGUGCCCUGCGUGAGAGGAAAACCCAACUCUGAAGAGAUCAUCCCAUCGUCCCUGGAAGUGAGCCAGAUCCAUCGAAAUUCCUCCAGAGGUGAAAGGACUCACCCAUUCAACAUCUCGAUUCCUGGUGGCCACAGGAGUCACAUCCCGCACUAUGGUGGACGGACCUCGGAACUGAGAGCUGAACCCCACAUUCGGGAAGGGGGUCUUUUCUGAAGAGGACCCUUCCAGGGUCAGCAGAAGAAUGGGUCAGCUGCAGAAGGAGGAGGAAGGAGGGAGUGAGCAAGCAGCAUGUGGUUUGGAGUCUCAGCGGGAGCACUAAAUUGGGAACUGCUGUUCCUUAACUACAAGGUGACCCUGAUGAUAGGCAUUGCCACUCUCCAAACCUCUGCAUUCAGCUUGUACUCAACAGCAGCAAGAGCUGCCACUGAUAUGUGCUAUCGAGCGCAAAUUUGUGGAUUCUGGAAGUGAUUAAGAUUUGCUGCUACACAGGCAGCUUGCCUAGCAAUCACCUUCACUAUUCUGCCUCUGCAUGAAAACUACGCUGAAGUUCUGAAAUAUAGAUUGUCACUGGGAAGCAGACUUUAGUCAGGAGCUUUUAUUUGAAAAUAACUUCUUAUUUUGAAUUCUUCUAGUAAGUUUUACACAUUGGCAGUUCAAAUUAAAACUUUUGUUCAGUAGGAUGAAGAAAAAAGUGACAAAAGCAUGAAAGACUGAUUAGUAAGGGAGUGCGUUUGCUCACAAUUGGAGAGAAAUGGUUUGAACCUGCUGGGCACAGGGUGAAGUUAUGGGAAGUUUCUUAAGCUUUACUUAACCCACAUGAUGAGAUAUACAGUGCCAGUGAUUAACUAGUGGAAAUCAUAGAAAAUGCUGAAGCAAAACAACUUCAGUACUGGUACAGGUUCCCCAAGAAGGCUGUGGAUUUCCCAUCCUUUCAGGUGUUCAAGACCAGGCUGGACAGUGCUUUGAGCAACCCAAGCUGGUGGAAGGUGUCCCAUGCCAUGACAGGGGCAUUGGAAGUACAUAAUCUUUAAUAUCCCUUACAAACCAUCCUAUAGAUUCUAUCAUAAAACCCCUGUAAUUCACCACAGCCUUGACCACUUCCCCUGCUUUCUCAGUCAAGUAGAAGAAGACUUACAAGAAUAUAUGCAAUUUUCAUUGGUAUUAUCCUUAACUAGAUGAAAUGCUAAGAGGUCAAUUAUUUCCAGCAAAAACUUGUGUCAGCAGCUGGUAAUUCCCAUACAGUUAGGGGCUUCUCAAGUAGUCUCAAAAUAGUUUGAAUUUUUCUUUGCAGUCAUGGAGAGCAGAGGAAAUUCAGUGUGGUCAUCAUGGCAGCGUUUUUCCUAAAUGUAUUUAGGGGGCACCAGUGAAAAAUUAUUUGUAUUAACAUGUCUGGAAUUUAUUCUUGUCUCGUCAUGGAGCAGUAUUUUAAUUUAUUUUGUCUCCUGCAUUCCCACAUAACAGUGUUUCCUGAUCCAUAAGUUGUUAACUGAUCACUGGCACUGUAAUCUUGCCACAAUACUGUUACUCUACAAAUAAUUAUUUGCAUGGACUGGGGAUCCCAUGCUUUUUCUUAUGUACAAGUUAAUACAGUUUGCUAAUACUAUUGGAUAUUCUGCAUGUCACCUCCAAAUAAUCAAGGUGACUAAUGUUGUAUCUAAAGCAAAGGAGUUGGAGUCUAUGAUUCUGAUGGGUCCCUUCUAACUCAGCGUAUUCAGUGAUUCUAUGAUCAGUGAGCACCUCAGUGCAAUUAGAACAGUGAUGUUCCAGAAGAGUUAGUUUAGAUUAGUUGCACACAUGGACAAAAUGACCUUCAGAUGUCAUCUCCUAGAUAAGUUUUAUCCAAAGAUAAUCCAGUUCACACACUCCAAGACCAUCCUGAGGGCUGAAGCAUGCUAAAUGGAGACAACCACCAGGGUCUCUUGAAAAGCAAUUAAACAAAAUGAAGACACAUUAAGUACAGAUCUGCUGAGAAAAAAACAAAGUUUGAAUGACAAGGCAUUAAUUUAUUAAUUAAAAUUAAAAUCUGAGGAUUCUUUAGUCCUUUCCUCCAUACUUGUCUGAAGUAGUUCUGAAGCUUAUGUUUCACAGAACUGUUCUAAAUUAUCGUCCUCUUUGCAAUUUAAAAACAUAGAAGUGGAGACAGACAGGUUAUAGAUCACUGUACAAAUGAAAUAAAACAGAAUAUAAA
ensembl:lncRNA